rnacentral:rRNA from 1 species
CGCUCGACACCUACGGGGGCAGCAGUAGGGAAUCUUCCACAAUGGACGCAAGUCUGAUGGAGCAACGCCGCGUGAGUGAAGAAGGUUUUCGGAUCGUAAAGCUCUGUUGUUGGUGAAGAAGGAUAGAGGUAGUAACUGGCCUUUAUUUGACGGUAAUCAACCAGAAAGUCACGGCUAACUACGUGCCACAGCCGCGGUAAUCUGAGCGGGCUGGCAAGGC